rnacentral:rRNA from 1 species
GACGAACGCUGGCGGCGUGCUUAACACAUGCAAGUCGAACGGUAAGGCCCUUCGGGGUACACGAGUGGCGAACGGGUGAGUAACACGUGGGUGAUCUGCCCUGCACUUCGGGAUAAGCCUGGGAAACUGGGUCUAACACCGGAUAGGACCACUGCCUGCAUGGGUGGUGGUGGAAAGCUUUUGCGGUGUGGGAUGGGCCCGCGGCCUAUCAGCUUGUUGGUGGGGUGAUGGCCUACCAAGGCGACGACGGGUAGCCGGCCUGAGAGGGUGACCGGCAACACUGGGGCUCGUAUACGGCCCGGACGGCUGCGGGAGGGAGAAGUGGGGAAUAGUGCACAGUGGGCGCGAGCCUCAUGCGGCGACGCAGCGUGGGGGAUGACGGCCUUCGGGUUGUAAACAUCGUGCAGCACCGACGAAGCGCAAGUGACGGUAGGUGCAGAAGAAGGGCCGGCCAACUACGGGCCAGCAGCCGCCGUAA